rnacentral:rRNA from 1 species
UGGGGGAUAUUGCACAAUGGGCGAAAGCCUGAUGCAGCGACGCCGCGUGGGGGAUGAAGGCUUUCGGGUUGUAAACCUCUUUCGCUAUCGAACAAGGCCCGCUUAGGGUGGGUUGAGGGUAGGUGGAGAAGAAGCGCCGGCUAACUACGUGCCAGCAGCCGCGGUAAUACGUAGGGCGCGAGCGUUGUCCGGAAUUAUUGGGCGUAAAGGGCUUGUAGGCGGCUUGUUGCGCCUGCUGUGAAAACGCGGGGCUUAACUUCGCGCGUGCAGUGGGUACGGGCAGGCUUGAGUGUGGUAGGGGUGACUGGAAUUCCAGGUGUAGCGGUGGAAUGCGCAGAUAUCUGGAGGAACACCGAUGGCGAAGGCAGGUCACUGGGCCAUUACUGACGCUGAGGAGCGAAAGCAUGGGUAGCGAACAGGA